GUUACUUUCUUGGUGACCAAGUUUACUCUAUGUACUAUAUAUUCUACCACUUUUUAUCCUUUUUCCCUUUUCAAAUCAGAAUUUCUCAUCAAUGACGGAUGAGAAGAGAUAGAAAACAGAGUGAUUCUGAAAACACGAUGGUGGAACAUGAGAACAUAACAGAGUGGAUUGAGGACCGCCAUGAUGAAACACGAGCAUUGUUGAUGUAUUCUUUGCGUUUUCAAGCACAGAAGUGAUUCUGGUUUUUGAAAUCAGACCCUUCACGCACAUUUUUUUCUUUAAGUAUUGAGGUUAUACAUGGUUUGGUGGGAAACAUUUUCAGUUGAAGAACACUUCAAUGGAGCAACUCAAGGUUGCCAGAGGAAAACAAACGACUUUAUCGGAAGAGCUUCAGCUGGAGAUAAUGCCGAAACACUUGCGAUUAUAAUCGAAAAGAAGAGUCGAGAGUGAGAUUGUUUUACACUUU